rnacentral:pre_miRNA from 1 species
UAUAUACUCCCUCCGUUCGAAAUUACUUGUCGCAGAAAUGGAUGUAUCUAGACGUAUUUUAGUUCUAGAUACAUCCAUUUCCGAGACAAGUAAUUCCGAACGGAGGGAGUACAUG